rnacentral:rRNA from 1 species
AUUGAACGCUGGCGGCAGGCCUAACACAUGCAAGUCGAACGAGUGGCGGACGGGUGAGUAAUGUCUGGGAAAAUGCCUGAUGGAGGGGGAUAACUACUGGAAACGGUAGCUAAUACCGCAUACCAUCGGAUGUGCCCAGAUGGGAUUAGCUAGUCGGUGGGGUAAAGGCUCACCUAGUCGACGAUCCCUAGCUGGUCUGAGAGGCUGACCAGCAACACUGGAACGGAGACACGGCCCAGACUCCUACGGGAGGCAGCAGUGGGGAAUCUUGCACAAUGGGCGCAAGCCUGAUGCAGCCAUGCCGCGGGUAUGAAGAAGGCCUUCGGGUUGUAAAGUACUUUCAGCGGGGAGGCGUUACCCGCAGAAGAAGCACCGGAUAACUCCGUGCCAGCAGCCGCGGUAAUUC